GACGAACGCUGGCGGCGUGCUUAACACAUGCAAGUCGAACGGGCCUUGUCCCCUUUUUUUUUGGGGGUGGGGUUAGUGGCGAACGGGUGAGUAACACGUGAGUAACCUGCCCCUCACUUCUGGAUAACCGCUUGAAAGGGUGGCUAAUACGGGGUGUUCUGGCCUGCUCGCAUGGGUGGGUUUGGAAAGAUUCGACCGGUUUUGGUUGUUUUGGUGGGGGAUGGGCUCGCGGCCUAUCAGCUUGUUGGUGGGGUGAUGGCCUGCCAAGGCUUUGACGGGUAGCCGGCCUGAGGGGGUGGGCGGUCACACUGGGACUGAGACACGGCCCAGACUCCUACGGGCGGCAGCAGUGGGGAAUAUUGCACAAUGGGCGCAAGCCUGAUGCAGCGACGCCGCGUGAGGGAUGGAGGCCUUCGGGUUGUGAACCUCUUUCGCCAGUGAAGAAGGUCCUGCUCUUUGUGGUGGGGUUGACGGUAGCUGGGUUAAUGAAGCGCCGGCUAACUACGUG
rnacentral:rRNA from 1 species